rnacentral:lncRNA from 1 species
ACUCAGUCAGUUGGAGUCUAAGACAUGAAAUGAAAUCAUUUUUACAGCUCAUAGCACAUAAAGAGAGAUAUAGAAUGUGGAGGGGAGAGUGUGGGACAAUACAGAGUUGGUAUAGCACCAUUGUCUGAGUGUCUACUGUGUGCUUUAUACCCUCCCAGCCUAAUGAGCGGGUGCCGGGCGCAGGAGUCAAAAUGUAUGCCGCCGAGACGACACCCACACACAGUAAAUAAAUGAAUAAAUUUAAGAAGUCAAAUGCUACUCAACUACCUCCUAAGAGCCCGCGGCCCGGGGGUUUUGACAGAACUUUAUUAGACACAUUGGG